rnacentral:rRNA from 1 species
CAGUGGCGGACGGGUGAGUAACGCGUGAGAAUCUGCCCUCAGGAGGGGGAUAACGGCUGGAAACGGCCGCUAAUACCCCAUAUGCCGCGAGGUGAAAUGAAUUUCGCCUGAGGAUGAGCUCGCGUCUGAUUAGCUAGUUGGUGGGGUAAAGGCCUACCAAGGCGACGAUCAGUAGCUGGUCUGAGAGGAUGAUCAGCCACACUGGGACUGAGACACGGCCCAGACUCCUACGGGAGGCAGCAGUGGGGAAUUUUCCGCAAUGGGCGAGAGCCUGACGGAGCAACGCCGCGUGAGGGAUGAAGGCCUCUGGGCUGUAAACCUCUUUUCUCAAGGAAGAAGACCUGACGGUACUUGAGGAAUAAGCCACGGCUAA